GUGAAGCAUCGAAUUUUUGAACGCAAAUUGCACUCCCUGGUAGUCCGGGGAGUAGGCCUGUGUGAGGGUCGUGAGAAUAAAAAAUCGAGGCGUCGCUCUUUGGUUGGGGGUGAUCGCGUCGGAACUGAGGCGGCUUUGAAAGGUGAAGGCAUGUCAAAGUGACUUAAAAUUCAUUAAUCCGAUACGGUUAAAAAGUAUGUAAGAGCAA
rnacentral:misc_RNA from 1 species